rnacentral:lncRNA from 1 species
CUUGAUCUGAAAUGAUUAAAUAAGGAAUGAGCUACACUAGCCCAGUAAAGACAUCACGAUAUCUCACCGUCACGGAAGUAAAGGUGGGUAGAAAACACAAAAAGACCAAUGGAGCAUAAUUUACAACAAAUCCUUUUAUCGAAAAUAAAACCUUUACCAUUUACUUACCUCGGUGAAAUUCAUAAAACGAUAUACGAAAGCAAUAACAUCAUCAUCAUCAUGAAAACAUAUAUAUGAACUGUAUAACAUAAUACCUAUCACACUUUUCGUAAUUCAAUCGUUACACAACAUAUUUUCCUAAUUCACCAGCCCACUAGUAUCCAUGGGGAUCCAUAGGGGUCCCGCUACCCGUUAAUCCUUAACACUUGAAAUCAUAUUCCAGGGCCGUCCCCAUACCCCGUCCGGUAUGGGCGCCAAAACACAUAAGAUCUCCAUACCCCGUCCGGUAUGGGAGACCACAAUCCCGGUAGGGUUCCCUACGGACCCGGUCCGUCCACCAUCUCCCAGGAUAUCUAGUCAGGCUGAACACAUUAUACAAUUUCCAUUCACAUAAUCUUUCAUUCUCCUUUUUCCCUCAGUUAGCAUUAUCAAUCACAUACAAACACGCAAAACGAUAAUUUAUGCCAAACAGACAACAUACAGCAUCAAUAUCCCGGUCAUUCAAUCCAUAAUCAAUAAAACAGUAAAAUAUGCACACGAAACUAUAAAAUGAAAACAUUGAACCUCAUGCUGCAUUUAAAAUUGUAAAACAGGCCAAAUAACAGUUAACCGACAAACACACUAGACUCGGGCUCCAUUAGCGACCUUAAGCAAUUUCACACAUUCGUUGAUUCACGAAAUACCAUUUUAUCAUUUAUUGAACUUUAAUACCGUGAUAGGAAAUAAGGUGAGGGGUCCUUACUCGUUUCGGGGUCCGAACACGGCUUCACAGUGCGCUUGCAGGCUGUCCCUAAUUUUCCCUGACUUUUCCUCGGGGAACUGAAACGCACUACUGGUACCUGCACGUGUUCCAAAAAAAAAUCCAAAUUAGGCCCAGGGCCUCUUUCGGCCCAAAUCGCAACUCCGGCACGGCGGCUCCGCCGUGCUCCGGCGACGGUGCCGCCGCUGGCGGCGGCGAGUUACCUCGGGUUGGCUGUUUUCGGCCGUUUUCGGCCACACUCGCAUCGGUCCCUGUGAGAAAACAACCCUAGGGCCCUCGGGGGGCCAAAAAAUCACGGAAAAACGGAGCUUACCGGCGGCGGCGCUCUCGGGUGCGGCGGCUCUCCGGCGAGGUUCGUGUUUUGGUGAUUCGGGUCCGGUCAACCUGUAGUGAAAAGAAUGGUGAUCACGGUGAUAUAAAAAUUGCAUCAAACGGAGGCCGGGAAGGGCCUCAUCGGAGGCAAAAACUGAGAAGGGGCGCGGCGGUGCCGCUGGGCUUCGACCGUGUAUUCCGGCCGUUUGGCCGGGAUUUUGGCUCCGAUUUGGCCACAGGAGGAAUCAGCAUGGAAAAACGAGUCGGGGGUACGAAAUUUACCUCGAUCGGCGGUCGGAAGUUCCUCCGAUGCGGCGGCGGGUGGCGACGGCCGGCUUCUGGUUCGUCUUCUCCGGCGAGCGGCAGAC